GGGUUCCGGUGGCAGCGCCGGGGUCUCAGACCCUGAGGAGACUGAGCCCAGCGCCAGGCGACCGGUCCCCGCCGCCGCCGCCCCUGCGCGGGAGAUCCCCCCUGCUUAGUCCGCGCCCGAGCCCCCGUCCGUGGGAACAGACAAGGGGCCUCCGCAGCGCCUCACAACCCCCGACCAGGUCCAGCGGCGGGGGACUCGGCCGUGGAGGGCGCUGUUCGGUCUGGAUGGCUCCCCCCAUCAGCGGGAGGCUACACCCCCCACCAGCAGGGGCAAGAGGAGCAGCGGGAUGGGAGCAGGCCAACGUCCUGCGGCCUGGUUGAGCUCGCACUGACAAUCGCAGGCUGGAGUGCAGUGGCACGAUCUCGGCUCACUGCAACCUCUGCCUCCAGGAUUCAACUGAUUCUCCUGCCUCAGCCUCUCCAGUAGCUGGGAUUACAGGCUUGC
rnacentral:lncRNA from 1 species